AGAGUUUGAUCCUGGCUCAGGAUGAACGCUAGCGGCAGGCUUAACACAUGCAAGUCGAGGGGCAGCGAGGGUAGCAAUACCUGUCGGCGACCGGCGCAAGGGUGCGUAACGCGUGAGCAACAUGCCCGUAUCAGGGGGAUAAUCCAGGGAAACUUGGUCUAAUACCCCAUAGUAAAUAUUGGAGGCAUCUUCGAUAUUUUAAAGCUUUGGUGGAUACGGAUUGGCUCGCGUGACAUUAGCUAGAUGGUGGGGUAACGGCUCACCAUGGCUACGAUGUCUAGGGGUUCUGAGAGGAAGGUCCCCCACACUGGUACUGAGACACGGACCAGACUCCUACGGGAGGCAGCAGUGAGGAAUAUUGGACAAUGGAUGGAAAUCUGAUCCAGCCAUGCCGCGUGCAGGAAGACGGCCCUAUGGGUUGUAAACUGCUUUUGUAUGGGAGCAAUAAGGACUACGUGUAGUUUGAUGAGAGUACCAUACGAAUAAGCAUCGGCUAACUCCGUGCCAGCAGCCGCGGUAAUACGGAGGAUGCGAGCGUUAUCCGGAUUUAUUGGGUUUAAAGGGUGCGUAGGCGGCGAUAUAAGUCAGUGGUGAAAUAUUUCGGCUUAACCGAGAGACUGCCAUUGAUACUGUGUUGCUAGAAUAUGGUUGCUGUGAGUGGAAUGUGUGGUGUAGCGGUGAAAUGCUUAGAUAUCACACAGAAUAUCGA
rnacentral:rRNA from 1 species